GUCUUUCCACUCUUUCUUUUCCUUCUUUAUUUUAAAUUUCUCCUGAAUUUCACUACGAACUUUAACCUGCUGACUGUUCAAUUAUCUAGUGUCCUCACUGUUUGUUUUGCAUAAAUUUUUCGCUAAGAUUUGUUAACAAAAAUGAAAAAAAUGUGAAACUUGACUUCUGUUUGUCUUAUGUUUGUUUCCCUCCAUGUUUUCCCUCUGUUGCCCUUAUGAUGAAUUGCUUUGUUCAAGACGAUUACAUCAUAAAUAUUCACGUUUCGAAGUACUUCUUCCAGGUCAAUGUUUGAUCUUAGUGGAUCCCCGAAAUUUGGAUGAUAAUGGAUUCGUACAAGUGUAAGAUUUGCCAAAAUCCUGCGAAAACAUAGCAGGCAAUUGAAGAGGAAACCAUGGAGAAGAACGUGAUUAAAGUCAGGGAACCAGUUAAUAGUAGACAGAGAUGAAAACAUGGAGCUGGUGAAGAGGGAUCAACAUGAAAAUGAAGCUGGGAAUAUAAAUAGAACUAGCGAGAGAACGGAAAGAGGAAGACAAACACAAAGGUUAACCAAUAUCAAUGAUCUCUUGGAUGACAAAAGGCUGAAAUGAUAAUACUCUAUUCUCAAGGUGUUUUUGUGAAUUUAAUGACUAAUUCUUUCCACUGGUUUUCAUCAUUAUUCAAUCAAGCAACGAGUGUUUAUACGGAACGUGAUUCGCCUGGAGGUGGAAACAAAAUUGGAGAAGAUGGAAAAGAGCGAGAAAUAACUAAGGAAUCGAAAGUAAAGCUUGAAUUUCAAAUUGCGAGGGCCUUUGCCUUGAUUCACAUGAUGCACAUAAACUAAUUAAAUCAGGACCUAUCAUCAUUCGUGUUCAUUUUUAUUGAUUAUACGUAAUCAACAGCUUUCAUCGUUACUUAAUGAGCACAAAGCUCUCUUGACCAUUACUCAAGACUACUUCAUCUUACUUACCAACCAGUUUAGUAAUGCAAAAAAUAUCACCAAAUAUUACAUUUAAUUUGGUCAGUGAUUCAGUGAUGAAACAAUCUUGAUUGAAGAUGAUUAAUAACACAUACUUGUUUAGUAUCCUCAAUCUUACCAAAGAAUCUUAUUUUCCUCUCAAUUUGCUAACCUUUAUUUCAUCAUCCAUGCCUGAUGCUCAACGUGUUUGCUGACACAUCAAAUAAAGAGUGCAAUAUUAAUCAUAAAGACGAAGCAAAACACUUCACAAAAUAAUAGUUAGUCAGAUUGCUCUUCUUAUUUACAAUAAUUAGGAAGAGGGUGAAAAACUUGUGGACGUCACUUGUAAACAAAUGUUUAACAAAUGUUACAUUGACCUUUAUUUGAUGAGAAAUCAAUUAAUAAUCGUUCAACCUCGAACUAUGUUGAAAAAAAAGAGUCAACAUUGCAUUCAAAGGUUGAAAAAUGUUCUAAAUCAGUCCCAAUGCUAAACUAUUUAGACAUUUUUGCCUCGGAAUAAUUGAUAUUUUCACUCAAAGCUCAAGUUAAAAUUGACGCACAAAAUCUUUAUGUUGGUAUUUAAGAUCAACACUAAUUAAACCUAGGCAAGGACAAUUAUUACCAAUGUAAACCAGCUUUUCAUCGAUGACCUUACCUUGAUAAUUGUGCACAGGAAAAAUGAAUAUAAUGUACAUGUGCUGUGAAUUUGCAUUUUCAAUUCCUGCAAAUGCGUGAAAACUUGUGACCAAAGUUACCUUGAACCAUCUUCAUGUGACUACAAAUGUUUAUCUUUCUCAUUCCAGUUUCCUUUGUUUUUCACUUAUCGAGGUCUCAGCUGAACUUCGUCAUCAUCAUCACAUGACCCUGUUCACCUUGUGAGAUUUGCUGGUGGUAUUUCCUGAUGCAAAAAAACUAUUACUCACAAUUUGUCACCGCAAGUCUGAAUUAACAAGAAAGACCAAAAUUCAAAUAAUGAAAUCAAUUAGGAUGGAUCAACAGAUGAAUGCAAAUUCAAGUGUUAAAAGAAACUCAAAUUUCCGUUGUUUGUCGCCAAAAAUGUUGCCAAAAAGAUGUCGUCAACAAUUGUAGUUGCUGGUUGAUGAUGCUGGUUACAAAUAAUCAAUCAUUGGGUUAUCAAGCUGAUUUCAGUACAAGUUAACCAGACUUUAUCAAGGCACAAUUCAGUUCCAAAUAUCAAUACAAUGAAAGCUGAUGAUCAUAAUUUUCCAAAUCUUAUUCGCCUCAGUCCAACCUUGAAAUAAUUUCGUAAUAAUUCUUUCUCAAUUUUUCCCUGCAAAAUGAAAUUUUAAGGUUAAACUUGAACCAUUUUUUCCCCUUUCUAUGGCAUCUUCACUCAUCUUGCCAACCAGUCUGAAACCAGGCAAUGGUAGACGCAACGGUUGUCCUCAUUCAAAAAUAGAUCAUCAGUAAAAGUGAUUGCAAUCAAUUUCAAUUUUCUGGUUAAGCUUGUCCGUUUCACCAACAAUCUGUUUACUGGAGAUAGACUAAUCACUCGAGCUGAUGUAAUAACAACCCGGUAACAUUGUAAACAGUCAAUCGCACAAUUUACAUGUUGAUGAAGCAGCUAUACAAUAAUUAUAACCAGGAUGAUGAAAUGAAAAACAACUUUUUCAAGGUUGGAAAACUCCUUUCUACAUUUUCCUCUUUCUAUUUUUUACCUUAGCUUUUAAUUUAUUUUCCUGGCGAAUCUCUCUUCUCUCUCUCUCUCUCUUCCCCUGGUUCAAUUGAGGCACAUCAACCAACAAAUGAUGAUGAUCAUGAUCACACCACCAUCAACAAUUUAAUGGCUUAUAGAGAGUUAAUUCACUGCUUGUUGUGGAAAGUUGUAAACAAGUAAAACUGUUAAUGUGGUUGAGUUCAAUUGUCGCUAUGGUUGUUUAAUUAGUCACUUUAAUGACUCUCUUAAUGAAUGAAUUCUCAAUUUCAUUUAUCAUUGAUUUCGUUAUUUUGCUUCACAUUAAAUUGCAAUCACAUGAUUACAGAUAUUAUUUUAGAUACACUUUUGGCUUCAAUUACACGUAUUUUUUAUGUGUUUCUAAAUUGCACUAUCCAUUCGAUUUUCAGCUUUGAUAAUUAAGGAGUUUUAUCUGUAUGGAAGCUCCAAUUAAUAUGUGAAACUUCAACUUCAUCAUGGCUUGUUAUUCAAUAAUUAAGAUUGUAUUUUACUUCAAGUAUCGCAAUAAGAUGCUUUUAAUCGCAGUUGACUGUUUAAAUGGUGCUUACUUGGUAAUGACAGACAUAAGUGAACGAUUGAUCUGAUACAUUUCAGGUUCAACUAUUGUCUAUUCUUGGCUUCUCAAUUUGUUGACUUAAAUAAUGAUUUACUGAUUAGAUUGAGAUUUUAUGGAAUGAUUUUGGUUAAGUGAUUGUGCCGCCAUCUGCUGUCAUAAAUAUAAUCCAAUACCCAUUCAACAUUUUGACUUGAAAUUUUGAAAUUGAUUUUUUUUAUUGCUUUCAACUGUAAUUAUCCAAGACUAUUGAACAGUGUCUUCUUGUUGUCUAAACUAUUGAAAUUUCCAAUAACACUGCUUUCAUAAUCGCCCAACAAAUGAUUUUUUAAACAAGUGUCGAUCCGAUGAACUGUAUCUAUUUUGUGAACCGGUAAACUCGAUUGAAUUUGAAGAAGCUGGGAAUAUAAUUGAAAUAUCUGGUUAAAAUGAACUUAUCCGAUUCUCAAAUCACCUAAAAUUCUCCUGCUUAAUGUUCCGAUGUUAUAAAGCUGACAAGCAUUUAAGUUGUCAAUUUAACCUUUAUCCGAUAUGGUUCACUUUGAUCUUAUGAUCUUUUUCAUAAUCUUUAAACGAAAAUCACUGUUAAUCUGUAAUCUUAAAGAUGAUUUCAAUGAAUUAAAUAAUUGGUAAGCAAAAUAUAUUUCGGGUCAAUUAAAUGAUUGAUCUAAUAAAUUAGCCAUAAUAUAGUAAAGCUGAUACGAUAAAUUAAAACAUUUGACUGUAAAACAGUUAUGAUCAAAGAGUUACUCUUUGUUUACUUUGUAUAAUCCGAGAUGUUGAAAGGUGACAAAAAAUCUAAUAGAGGGCACAGUAAGCGACUAAGGUGAAAGCAAAGAGUAAAAGCUUGAACUGAUGAAAACAAAAAAACGAUUUUAAGCAUUUGGAAUAAACUGUUGUAAUGAGAUUUGCAUUAAUCAUCUGCAAUUAAUCAAGCUGUGGAAUAAAUUAUUUAUCAAAACAUAUGACAAGGAAGCAUUGGAAGGGUAGAAACUGUUUGGUGGAAAAAAUGUUUACUCUAAUUGGGUUCUUCAGGCUUCUUUUUGGUUUUAAAGAUGCAGCUUAAAAA